rnacentral:tRNA from 1 species
AGGGCAUUAGCUCAGUUGGCUAGAGCGUUUGACUGGCAGUCAAAAAGUCAUCGGUUCGAUUCCUAUAUGCUCCA